CGAACGUGGGGAACCUGCCCCAUAGUCUGGGAUACCACUUGGAAACAGGUGCUAAUACCGGAUAAGAAAGCGGAUCGCAUGAUCAGCUUUUAAAAGGCGGCGUAAGCUGUCGCUAUGGGAUGGCCCCGCGGUGCAUUAGCUAGUUGGUAAGGUAAAGGCUUACCAAGGCAUGAUGCAUAGCCGAGUUGAGAGACUGAUCGGCCACAUUGGGACUGAGACACGGCCCAAACUCCUACGGGAGGCAGCAGCGC
rnacentral:rRNA from 1 species